rnacentral:rRNA from 1 species
AACGAACGCUGGCGGCAUGCCUAACACAUGCAAGUCGAACGAGACCUUCGGGUCUAGUGGCGCACGGGUGCGUAACGCGUGGGAACCUGCCCUUAGGUUCGGAAUAACUCCCCGUAAGGGGUGCUAAUACCGGAUAAUGUCUUCGGACCAAAGAUUUAUCGCCUUUGGAUGGGCCCGCGUUGGAUUAGCUAGUUGGUAGUGUAAAAGCCUACCAAGGCGACGAUCCAUAGCUGGUCUGGGAGGAUGAUCAGCCGCACUGGGACUGAGACACGGCCCAGACUCCUACGGGAGGCAGCAGUGGGGAAUAUUGGACAAUGGGCGAAAGCCUGAUCCAGCAAUGCCGCGUGAGUGAUGAAGGCCUUAGGAUUGUAAAGCUCUUUUACCCGGGAUGAUAAUGACAGUACCGGGAGAAUAAGCUCCGGCUAACUCCGUG